rnacentral:rRNA from 1 species
GACGAACCGUACGAACGUUAUUCGGAAUCACUGGGCUUAAAGGGUGCGUAGGCGGCGCAGUAAGUUGGGUGUGAAAUCCCUCGGCUUAACCCGAGGAAUUGCGCCCAAAACUACUGUGCUCGAGGGAGGUAGAGGUGAGCGGAACUUAGGGUGGAGCGGUGAAAUGCGUUGAUAUCCUAAGGAACACCGGUGGCGAAAGCGGCUCACUGGACCGUCUUCUGACGCUGGAGGCACGAAAGCUAGGGUAGCAAACGGG